GACGAACGCUGGCGGCGUGCUUAACACAUGCAAGUCGAACGGAAAGGCCCCUUCGGGGGUGCUCGAGUGGCGAACGGGUGAGUAACACGUGGGUGAUCUGCCCUGCACUUUGGGAUAAGCCUGGGAAACUGGGUCUAAUACCGAAUAGGAUCAUGGCCUUCAUGGGUUGUGGUGGAAAGCUUUUGCGGUGUGGGAUGGGCCCGCGGCCUAUCAGCUUGUUGGUGGGGUAAUGGCCUACCAAGGCGACGACGGGUAGCCGGCCUGAGAGGGUGUCCGGCCACACUGGGACUGAGAUACGGCCCAGACUCCUACGGGAGGCAGCAGUGGGGAAUAUUGCACAAUGGGCGCAAGCCUGAUGCAGCGACGCCGCGUGAGGGAUGACGGCCUUCGGGUUGUAAACCUCUUUCAGCAUCGACGAAGCGCAAGUGACGGUAGAUGCAGAAGAAGCACCGGCCAACUACGUGCCAGCCGCCGCCGUAAUAC
rnacentral:rRNA from 1 species